GUGCUCACUUUGGCAGCACAUCCAUAAAAUCGGAACGAUGCAGAGAAGAUCAGCAUGGCCCCGUGCAAGGAUGACCCUGGAACUCAUCUGGUCCGCAGAGCCUCU
ensembl:snRNA U6 U6 spliceosomal RNA